ensembl:lncRNA
CAUACAUCUUACUUUCAGUUACUAAAUUAAAUUGAGGACUCAUCAUUUCAGCCUAAGCACAGAGGAAGUGCCUUUUAACACCAUUUUUAGAUUAGUUUGAAACAAGACCUCAUUGUUGCUGCUGAAUGAUGCUGGUUAGUACAACUGAGUCUACUUAAGCAAAGUUUUACUGUGAGAAGAUAUGGCAAUAGAGAUAUGUGACACUUAUGGCGAAUGGUAUCGCUACUUCUUGUUCAGUGUCUGGGUCAUCGACAUCACCCUGAUAUUUUUGGUUUAUCACUUAGAAACAAGUUUGAAAGAAAAAAUGAAAAAUUGCCAAAAGGACAGAUGUCAAGAAAAGGACUAUGUCAAUGAAGCGAGUGGCUUUACAUGCGAGAAAGCCAGCUGAAGCAGUAAUUGAACAAUUCAUGUAAAAUUGCUCUCAUACAAAAAUGACAGUUCAAAGAAAGAACUGAUGCAUUGUAAUGGAGUGUCUUAAUGUAGACCUAUUUCAUUAAAUGAAUUUAUGUUCACAAUAUUCAAAUGUAUAUUCUGUGCAGCAAUCUGCAGUUAAUUUGAAUAGGUGCUUGACAAUGUGUUGCUCAGCUUUUCUGAUAAAAAUACAUUGCACUGUAAAAUAAAUCGAAAAUAAUGCUUUGUUUUAAAGUUAUA